CAUUACGUGGCAUUGUUGUUAACGCGCCAGUCUAGCACUCUGGGAGCCGUGAGUUCGAUUCUCACCGAGAAGA
rnacentral:tRNA from 1 species